ACCUUAUGUAUCUUUCAUUAAGAGAAUCUUAUUCUCUCCCACUAUUCUCUCUCAAUCUUAUACGAGUAAUACACGAUAGCCUCUGUAACCCUAAAAAUAUUAAUUCGACCGAAUAAAGAAUUCAAUAAUAGUUCAAACAUUCGGCCGACAUCUUGAGUUAUAAUGGCGCUCUCAUAUGCUCGCUACAAAUGGUUGCACCUUAGGUUGCAAGAUUUCAAAAGUGUAAGCGAGUAGGAUUCAACUAUGUUUAGCAUCACAUCUGAAUUGAAAUUGUAUGGAGAAAAAGUCACAGAUGCUGAUAUGCUAGAAAAAACACUCUCGACUUUUCAUGUUUCAAAUCUGCUUCUUCAGCAGCAAUAUCAAGAAUGUGCUUUUAAUACAUAUUAUGAGCUCAAAUCUGCUCUUCUUCUUGCUGAACAAAAUAAUGAGCUUUUGUUAAAAACCCAUCAGUCGCGUCAUACUAGCUCUAAUGAUAAUGGUCGUAAAGGUGGUCAUGCUAAUAGUUGGCGACCUGAUGGUGAAAGCUCUAAAGUCAAGGAUUUUCUCAAUGAUGAUUCAAUUCCAAAUGAAAAUCUUGAUCUCAAUUCCAUUGAACAUGACCCAAAAAUGGGAGUUUACUGUGAUGUUGCUAAUUUCUUCAAUGACAUUGAAGAGGAAGAAUUGGUUUAUACGCAAACUCUAAGAAUUAGUUUUAAAAAAAAACCGUGUUGCAGAGUUUUUACUUCAUAAUAAAUGGUGUAUGGUGUCUAGUUUAUUUUGUUUUCUAGUUUCGGAAGAUUGAGGUUUUUGUUCGUCAUUAAUAAAGUGCGUUUAUUAGUUAAGUGUUCGUCAUUAA